UACGUAGGGUGCGAGCGUUGUCCGGAAUUAUUGGGCGUAAAGGGCUCGUAGGCGGUUUGUCGCGUCGGGAGUGAAAUCCACUGGCUUAACUGGUGGCUUGCUUUCGAUACGGGCAGACUAGAGUGUGGUAGGGGAGACUGGAAUUCCUGGUGUAGCGGUGAAAUGCGCAGAUAUCAGGAGGAACACCGAUGGCGAAGGCAGGUCUCUGGGCCACUACUGACGCUGAGAAGCGAAAGCAUGGGGAGCGAACAGG
rnacentral:rRNA from 1 species